GGCGGCAGUGGCGGCGGCAGGGAUGGAGAGCAGAAGGGAGGACCGGACACUAAAUGGGGGGGAAAAAAUUGGUAAUGGCGGGGCUGCGUCGGACUGCUCAUUAGAAGGAAGGUGAUGGGAGAUUAAAAAAAAAAAAAAGAGCAGGGCGAGGCGGAUGAAGUGUGCACACAAGGAGUCAAUCUGGAGUGAGCGGGUCAAGUGUGGCGGCAAUUGGAGGAAGGGGAGAGGACCACAGGUGCUCCGUCCAUUUGCUCGCUCACCGUUUGCUGACUGCUUGUCGACUCCACGCUUCCUCUGACUAGGAUUUCCCCUCCCUCAAAAUCUCUGGGAUUCUUCUGAGCAGAAACAUCAAGGAAUCUUCUAUUUUCCCACGGUUUAAUCUGCAGGGCACUCAUUGGGGAGCUCAUCAUUUAAACUUUCGACUCUGUAAAAGUAAAGGUCGAAACUCACGGUCUAUCUUUGGAACUUCUCGAUAAAUCAAAUGCAACAGAAGGGAGCAAAACGGAAGCAAGAUGGCGGAGGAGGACACGGCAAAUAAGACGUCCACCUCUGAAAUCCAGCCACCAAAUGACAGUAUCUCCUCGCAUCCCUUCCUGUUACCGCUCUUUUACGUGUGCGUCAAGUGUCUUCAAAGCCUCGGUCGCAACUUCAAACGGUGAUGAUGUUGGGGUCACGCCGAGGUGCCCGAAGCAUUAGCGGCUGCCGUCUCAGGGUCAGCUUCUCAGGUGGAGUGCAACCAGAUACGAGCCGUUUGCAGGAUUCAAGGCACUUGACCAAGGGCCAACACCGCUCCUCCGUGCCAGGCUCAGAUUACCCCCCGCCUUCAUUCACUUUCCUUGAGUUAUGGCCGCCGGUGUGUUCCGAGGUCUUUGCGUGGAUUGUCCCUAUCCGGUCCGCCCUGACUCAUGGGAGCGCUCGUGACAAAGUGCACCGGCGGAUGUCUUUCACCCACCCAUGCUUAGAAUUACUCAUCUGAUCAGACGGCAUCAGCGCUCCACGGCUGCCCGGGUCAUACAAGCCAAGCCCCUGGGGGCCAAGCAGCUAAUUACAGGCUUCUGCGGUUUCUUUCACCACCGACAAUAUCAGCGUGAGAGAAGAAGCCACUAUAGGACAAAGAAUCGUGACAUCAGUAGUGCCAGCUGGAGUGGAGGGCGUUGCUCUCCAGCAGGCGCACCUGUUCCGCAUUUCCAAUUAAGCCUGGCUUAGUUGUUAGUUGUUUAGUUGCCAAGGCUGUGUUGGAUUACUAUAUUACUCGCUGUUGUGUUUCAAGUGUUGUUUUUUUUUAGACCUCUCGAUACUAUUCGUAGUCGCUCUGGUUUUUUUUCCAUCUAUCCUUGUUUGUGAGUAUUAUCGUUCUUUUGUUAUUGCUCUUUGUGUAUUUCGUUUGUAUAUUCUCGGGGUUACCUUUUCCAAAUGCUUUUUGUUUAUGCCUUGUUUUGUUUUUCUUCCCUGGAUCCUUUUGACCAGUGAUUUGUCCUUUGGCGGUGUUCA